AGUAAUACAUCGGAACGUGUCUUCUAGUGGGGGAUAACUGCCCGAAAGGGCAGCUAAUACCGCAUGAGACCUGAGGGUGAAAGCGGGGAAUCGCAAGACCUCGCGCUGGAAGAGCGGCCGAUGUCCGAUUAGCUAGUUGGUGAGGUAAAGGCUCACCAAGGCGACGAUCGGUAGCUGGUCUGAGAGGACGACCAGCCACACUGGGACUGAGACACGGCCCAG
rnacentral:rRNA from 1 species